AAGUCGUAACAAGGUUUCCGUAGGUGAACCUGCGGAAGGAUCAUUACAAAUGACCCGGAGGCGGAUAGUAUCCGCAGCCAUAAGGUCGAUCUAUUGUUACCGUAGUCAUGCUCCGGCAUGGCUUCGUGUCCACCCAUUGUGAACCCUUUUAUUAUGCUUCGGCAGCUCUUUGCGUCUAAACAGCGUGAAGGUAAGGCUGUCGAUAGCUCAUAUUAAAACUAGUUUUGAAUAUCAUGAUGUCUGAAGCUUUUUGAGAAAUCAAAAUACAAGUUAAAACUUUCAGCAACGGAUCUCUUGGUUCUC
rnacentral:misc_RNA from 1 species